GACGAACGCUGGCGGCGUGCCUAAUACAUGCAAGUUGAGCGCUGAAGGUUGGUACUUGUACCAACUGGAUGAGCAGCGAACGGGUGAGUAACGCGUGGAGAAUCUGCCUUUGAGCGGGGGACAACAUUUGGAAACGAAUGCUAAUACCGCAUAAAAACUUUAAACACAAGUUUUAAGUUUGAAAGAUGCAAUUGCAUCACUCAAAGAUGAUCCCGCGUUGUAUUAGCUAGUUGGUGGGGUAAAGGCUCACCAAGGCGAUGAUACAUAGCCGACCUGGAAGGGGGAUGGGCCCCAUUGGACCUGGACACCGGCCCAAACUCCACGGGUAGGCGGCGGAGGGGAGUGUUGGACAAUGAACGAAGGUCUAACCGGGCACGGCCACGUAGGGGAAAAGGGUUUUGGAAUCUAAAAAGUCGGUUGGUGGGAAGAAAGGUGGUGGGGGGUGAAAGGCACAAAAGUGAAGGUAACCUACCAGAAAGGGACGGCUAACUACGUG
rnacentral:rRNA from 1 species